AAUACUAAAUACAAAUUCCAUAUUUAUUUUUGAAUGUAAAUUUUCAAAUUUAAGUUCACAUCCAAAAAAAUAUAAAUAAAUAUAAUUUUGUCCAAAAUUCGAUCAUCUAAUAUAUUAAAGGAAAAACUUCAAAUAUCCUCAUUGUGGUUUCACUUUUUCUCACUUUAGUAUCUUGUGGUUUAAAGUGUAUUAAGUUAGUACCAUAUGGUUUCGCACUUUUUCACUUUAGUACCCUGUGAUUUAAAGUGUAUCAAGUUAGUACCCUGUGGUUUCGCACUUUCUCACUUUAAUACCCUGUGGUUUAAUAUUUUAUUAAGAGAAAAAUAAAACCACAGAAUACUAACUUAAUACAAAAAUAAAAUUACAGGAUACUAACUCGAUACAAAAAUAAAACCACAAAGUACUAACUUGAUACACUUUAAACUACAAGAUACUAAAGUGAGAAAGUGCGAAACCACAGAGUACUAACUUGAUAUAGUUUAAACUACUGGGUACUAAAAUGAAAAGUCCGAAACCACAUGGGUCUUUUUGAAGUUUUUCCUAUAUUAAACCUUUCUUA
rnacentral:lncRNA from 1 species